rnacentral:rRNA from 1 species
AUGCACGCUGGCGGCGUGCCUAAUACAUGCAAGUCGCGCGCACAGACGAGGAGCUUGCUCCUCUGACGUUAGCGGCGGACGGGUGAGUAACACGUGGAUAACCUACCUAUAAGACUGGGAUAACUUCGGGAAACCGGAGCUAAUACCGGAUAAUAUAUUGAACCGCAUGGUUCAAUAGUGAAAGACGGUUUUGCUGUCACUUAUAGAUGGAUCCGCGCCGCAUUAGCUAGUUGGUAAGGUAACGGCUUACCAAGGCGACGAUGCGUAGCCGACCUGAGAGGGUGAUCGGCCACACUGGAACUGAGACACGGUCCAGACUCCUACGGGAGGCAGCAGUAGGGAAUCUUCCGCAAUGGGCGAAAGCCUGACGGAGCAACGCCGCGUGAGUGAUGAAGGUCUUCGGAUCGUAAAACUCUGUUAUUAGGGAAGAACAAAUGUGUAAGUAACUAUGCACGUCUUGACGGUACCUAAUCAGAAAGCCACGGCUAACUACGUG